rnacentral:rRNA from 1 species
UACGGAGGGGGUUAGCGUUGUUCGGAAUUACUGGGCGUAAAGCGCGCGUAGGCGGACCAGAAAGUUGGGGGUGAAAUCCCGGGGCUCAACCCCGGAACGGCCUCCAAAACUCCUGGUCUUGAGUUCGAGAGAGGUGAGUGGAAUUCCGAGUGUAGAGGUGAAAUUCGUAGAUAUUCGGAGGGACACCAGUGGCGAAGGCGGCUCACUGGCUCGAUACUGACGCUGAGGUGCGAAAGUGUGGGGAGCAAACAGC